UACGUAUGUCCCGAGCGUUAUCCGGAUUUAUUGGGCUUAAAGCGAGCGCAGACGGUUGAUUAAGUCUGAUGUGAAAGCCCGGAGCUCAACUCCGGAAUGGCAUUUGAAACUGGUUAUCUUGAGUGCAGUAGAGGUAAGUGGAACUUCAUGUGUAGCGGUGGAAUGCUUAGAUAUAUGGAAGAACACCAGUUGCGAAGGCAGCUUACUGGACUGUAACUGACGUUGAGGCUCGAAAGUGUGGGUAUCAAACAGG
rnacentral:rRNA from 1 species